rnacentral:rRNA from 1 species
ACCUACGGGGCGCAGCAGUAGGGAAUAUUGCACAAUGGACGAAAGUCUGAUGCAGCGACGCCGCGUGAGUGAUGAAGGCCUUCGGGUUGUAAAGCUCUGUUCUCAGGGAAUAAAAAAAUGAAGGUACCUGAGGAGAAAGGACCGGCUAACUUCGUGCCAGCAGCCGCGGUAAUACGAGGGGUCCAAGCGUUGUUCGGAAUCAUUGGGCGUAAAGCGGGUGUAGGUGGCUUUGUAAGUCAGGAGUGAAAGCCCUAGGCUCAACCUAGGAAGUGCUUUUGAUACUGCGAAGCUUGAAUGUGGGAGAGGAUCGUGGAAUUCCAGGUGUAGUGGUGAAAUACGUAGAUAUCUGGAGGAACACCGGUGGCGAAGGCGGCGAUCUGGCCCAACAUUGACACUCAGACCCGAAAGUGCGGGGAUCAGACAGGAUUAGAUACCCCGGUAGUCC